CUCUUAUCCAGAGUGGUGGAGGGACUGGCCCGAUGAAACCCGGCAACCUCGGUAAUUAAUUUACUGGAUGGUGCCAAAUCCUGCAGAGACUAUGGUUUCUGAGAGAUGAGAG
rnacentral:ncRNA from 1 species